rnacentral:rRNA from 1 species
UCAUAUGCUUGUCUCAAAGCUUAAGCCAUGCAAGUGUAAGUUCAUGCCGUAAACGAAUGGUGAAACCGCGAAUGGCUCAGGAACCGGACCUAAUCCUCGGGACCGUAUUCCUCACCGCGAGGAGAGUGGAUAACUGUGGCAAUUCUAGAGCUAAUACAUGCAAUCGAAGCCGCGAUCGCAGGUCGCACCCGGGCGUCGGGUCGAAAAACGGCUUCGGUCACGCGCUCGCGGUUUGUUUGUCCGGCUCCGUGUCGUGCAUCGACGCGUCGCGUCCGUUGUCGCCGGCGCCCGCUCGGUCGGUUACUACUACCUUCCGCGACGAUACGGUCGGCCUUCGCAUUGGUCGCGGCGCAAAUAUUAGACUGAGACCGACGCGUUCAAGUCGCCGCGCGGGCGUGCGCACGAAUGCGACCCGUCACCAGUUGGCGUUCUUCGCACCGUUCACCGCCGCUGCAGCGCGACGACGACGUCACGCCCUUCGAUUUUGGUGACUCUGGAUAACUGUCAGUACGAUCGCACGGGCUAGUAUCGCACUAGCCUUCGCGCGACGGGUCCCCCGCGRGUCCGCCCUAUCAACUGUCGACGGCCCGGUAAGUGCCGACCGUGGUGGCAACGGGUAACGGGGAAUCAGGGUUCGAUUCCGGAGAGGGAGCAUGCGAAACGGCUACCACAUCCAAGGAAGGCAGCAGGCGCGCAAAUUACCCACUCCCGGCACGGGGAGGUAGUGACGAAAAAUAACGACGCGGGACUCUGUCGAGGCCCCGCGAUCGGAAUGAGUACACUUCAAAUCCGUUAACGAGGAUCGACCGGAGGGCAAGUCUGGUGCCAGCAGCCGCGGUAAUUCCAGCUCCGGUAGCGUAUAUUAAAAUUGUUGCGUUUGAAAAGCUCGUAGUCGGAAUUCGGGUCUCGAAAACGUGCCCCAGCACGUUCGGGGCGACGGCGCCGUGGCCGGUUUCGUGGGCACGCGCCUCGUGCGUGCGCUCGCGUGCCGCGCUUCGGUCGUCCGCUCGCACUCCCGGCCCUAUUCGCCGGUGCGUGCGCGGUCGGGCCGCCGAGCUCUGCGCGCAUCGCUUGCGUCGUGUUGUCGGUUCAUCGCGCGGCGGGUUCAUCGGUCGUAAACGCGUACGGGGUGGAGUCGUUGUUCGCGCGCGGGCAGGCGCUCGCGUGCCGCAGUCGUCGUGUCGCGUCUCGUCGUUCGUCGUCGGUCGCGUUCGCGGUGGCAGCGGCGCCGCGCGCGUGUCGCCGCCGCGUGUCGAGCAUUCCACCUCGGCGUCUCCUCGUUCCGCCGUCGAUUACGCGCAAACUCGACUAUCACUUCGCGGUCGCGCGUCCAUCUCUCGGUUCGCCUUCGUCGGCGACGCAAGUCGACCCGCACGGUUCCUCCGAGGGUGCUCUUUACCGAGUGUCCGAGGCGGCCGGUACGUUCACUGUGAAAAAAUUAGAGUGCUCAGAGCGAGCCCCGACUGGCUUGCAUACGAAAAGCAUGGAAUGAUGGAAAAUGGCCUCGUCCGCGCGUCAUCCGUCGGUCUCCGUUCACGACGAGGCAAUGAUCGAAGGGAGCGAUCGGGGCCACUCGUAUUGCGACGUUAGAGGUGAAAUUCUUGGAUCGUCGCAAGACGCACUGCAGCGACGGCGUGUGGCAAGCACGUUUUCCUCGAUCAAGAGCGAAAGUCGGAGGUUCGAAGACGAUCAGAUACCGUCGUAGUUCCGACCGUAAACGAUGCCGACUGGCGCUCCGCCGGCGUUCGCUUCGAUGACCCGGCGGGGAGCCUGCGCGGGAAACCAUAGUCGGUUCCGGGGGGAGUAUGGUUGCAAAACAGAAACUUAAAGGAAUUGACGGAAGGGCACCACCAGGAGUGGAGCCUGCGGCUUAAUUUGACUCAACACGGGAAAACUCACCCGGUCCGGACACCGGUAGGAUUGACAGAUCGAUAGCUCUUUCUCGAUUCGGUGGGUGGUGGUGCAUGGCCGUUCUUAGUUGGUGGAGCGAUCCGUCUGGUUGAUUCCGAUAACGAACGAGACUCCGGCCUGCUAACUAGCGCGUCGAUUAGUGCUUUUCCGGUAGCGAGGCGGCGCCGACGCCGUCGUCGGUUAGCUUUGUGCGCGUGUUCUUCUCGGUGCGGCCCGGUUGUCGUUGCUGCUGCUACGGCCGUCGUCGUUCGGUGGUGUUGGUGGUGGUGGUCGUUUGUCGCGUGUCGCUCGCCCCCGUUCGCGGUGGUUGGGAGGCGGGCACGGCGACUGCUGCUGCUUACUCUCUUCCGCAUCGUCGGCGGCUGCGGUAGUGGCGACGCACUGGAACCGUUGCCGGUGGAUCGUGUGUCGGAGCCCGGCAGCGGCACGCCGUCACGCCCGGGCCAGUCGGUUGGCGAACGCAGCGCUUCUUAGAGGGACGGGCGGCAGAAAGCCGCACGAGGCGGAGCGAUAACAGGUCUGUGAUGCCCUUAGAUGUCCGGGGCCGCACGCGCGCUACACUGGAGGUAUCAGCGGGCGCUUCCCCCCCGGCCCGAGAGGGUCGGGAAACCUCUGAACCACCUCCCGUGAUAGGGAUCGGGGCCUGGAACCAACCCCGUGAACGAGGAAUUCCCGGUAGGCGCGGGUCAUCAGCCCGCGUCGAUCACGUCCCUGCCCUUUGUACACACCGCCCGUCGCUACUACCGAUCGAACGGUCCGGUGAGGUCCUCGGAUCUGGCCGACGAGUUCGCAGGCCGCGCGACGGUGGGCGUGUCGUGCUGUUGCCUUCGUGGUUGUAGCCGACCGUCGCCGUUGUCGGCGCGUUCUCCGAUGGCCCGGAGAAGACGACCGAACCCGAUCGCUUAGAGGAAGUAAAAGUCGUAACAAGGUUUCC